GGUAGUCGGAGGCCCCUGGGAGCCAAUUUAGAUUGUGACUUAAGGCAACAUGAUGGCUUUGUACGUGUGUGCGUGUGUGUGUGUGUGUACGUAGUUGCGGGUGGCCCUCUGUGCAGACCCUCCACCACAUCUGCAUACCCCCCCACCCCCUUCCCCACGAGGAAGUUGUUAGCGCGACGACUUUUAAGAGAUAGCGCGUGAUUGACAGCGGAUCUUUGCGUCAAGCGGAACAACAACAACGCAACAGCACGACAACGCACAUUUGAAUGGAAAAACACUCGAAGACAAGCGUGAGAUAAAACAUUGCGGAUUAGCCUCGGAUGUAAAUAAUUGCUAUGCUGGUUGUUAUUGGUAUGGACUGUUAGCAUGUUAGCAUUUGAUCCCUUUUGAUUUUAAAUUGAAUCUGAACACAAUGCAUCAUUUAGUGUCAUCGGUCAUGUUGCUGACUCGCUAUAUGUUAGUGUGCUAACUGUUAGGUUAUGAAUUGCUAACGGCGUGAGGGGAUAACAUGCUAACAUUUGAACCUCUUACAAGAUUGGUGAAUAUGCUAACAUGCUAAAAGACAGUUUCAGCAGUUGUACUCGGCGCACUUUUCUGUGCCAGUUCAAGUGAAAACGUUUGGUAUUUUCAAGUAGUGUGGCACAUCUGCCGUCUUUCGGGCCUCCUUUUUUGGAAGGAACGGUCGGUCGGCCGGCUGGAGUGUGACGGCGGGCGUGCGCGGAAGGAAAAGGGAGAAGAAAAAAAAAAAAAAAAAAAAAAGCUAUUUGGAGGCCUUGUCACUUGUGAUUAGGAGGCCGGCGUUCAUGUUUGUGAGGAGGCUGAGUGCAGAUGGCAGAGUGGAAGAAAUGGAUCACUAAUUUUAACAAUGAUUAAUGAACAGAGAUGGAAAAUGAAUUACAUCCCAGCGCACACACGCACACGCUCAAAAAUCCGCUGCCAGACACACAACCCUGCUCUGGAUUUACACUCCGUGUGCGCGCGCGCGUGUCAUUGUGCAUUACACUCUCCCCGUGUGUGUGUAUUGCAUUUGCUAUGUUUGUGUUGUGUGUGUUUUGAUGUGUGUGUAUUUCCCCCCUGCAUCUUUUGUAGAAUCAACAACACUUGACUGCUCUCGCCUUAUUACUUUACUGCUUUAAACUCGGCUUCCUUCACACUAUUGUUUCCUGUUGUGUAUCUCUGUGUGUGUGUGAAGGAAAAGGUUAGCGUGCUUUUUUUGUGCACGCCACAAUAAAGUUUUGCCUUGAAAGCGUCCCUCUGCAGUCACUCCGAGGAUGACAUAUUUUCAUCGAAAUAAUGCUUAAAUCUUACAAGGCCACAAAUAUAAUAUUUUGUUCACCCUCCUGUUGUGUUGUGGGUCUAUAUAAUAUAUAUAUAUAUUUUAAAAAAUAUAUAUAUAUUUUUAAAAAUGUAAAAACCUAAAAUGUGCCUCUUUUUUUUCUUUUUCUACUUUAACUAUAUAUAUAUAUAUAUAUAUAUAUAUAUGUGUGUGUGUGUGUGUGUGUGUUUAAAUAAUGUUUUAAAUGAUUAAACAUUCGCUCUGAUUAAAACAUUUUUUAAAUUGUCUUUUAAUUGAAUACAUACAUAAUGGCUAACAUGGUCUCAAAUUGACACAUUUUAAAUAAAUAAAAAUUAAAAAACCUAAAACAAAUAAAAUUUUGAUUUUUUAAAAUAUACUUUUAAUGUACUGUACAUAUUGUUUUGAAAUAUAUUUUUAAUGAAUCUUUUCAGCACGUGGCUCAACAUGGGUUCAAAUAAAGUAAACCAGCCGUAAAUAAUAAAUAUAUGUAAAUCAAAUUCCCCCCGUUUUCUUCUUAUAAUUACAGCCAGGUGCUAAAUAACUUUGGUCAAAAAUGGGUCGCCGUCCACACCUCGCUUCUGUGUCAGAAUCUUCCACACAGAACGCUGGCACGAAUGUGUGUGCGUGUGUGUGUGUGUUAAUGUAUAUUUUAAUGGCCUCUAAGAGAAGCUUCUUGACGCCGCUAAGUGCCAACCACGACGGCGGCCGACGACUCAUUCAUCUGUUCACCCAACUGUUGUCUACACGCACGCGCGCGCACGCACACCUCCUCCACGUCCCUACACACACGCAAUAUGUUAGCACGCGCGCACACACACACACACACACACACACACAGACCGAGUGAGGAAACAGACACCUGAAUGAGUUUGCGUCUUCCUCCCUUUCCUUCCUUCUGUCCUUCUUUCGUCUUUGAAUCAUUCUGUCGGGGAAAAGGCCUAAAUUUACUUCACGCAUUAUUUCAUGUCCUCUAUUUGUUCUUUCUGUAUUUGUUCCUUCUUUUUCUUGCUCUUUAUCCUUUGCUUUCUGCCGUCACUUCCUUUUUUCCUUCAUCUUUUCUUUUCUGUUUUUAAUCCAUUUGUUCUUCAUUUCAUGACUUCCUUUUUUACCUUAGUUCAUUUUCCCCCACUUCCAUAUUUCCUUCAUCUUUCCUCCCUUUUUCUAAUCUUUUCUUCCUUCUUUGGUCCGUUUCCAUUUCUUUCUUUGUUCUUUACUUUUCCCAGCUUGUUUUUUUUUUAAUCCUGCCUUUGUUACUCCUUUCCUGCAUCUUUCAUCCUUCUUCCCUCAUUUCUUUCCGCCUUCUUUCUUUCUUCCAUCCAUCCAUCCAUCCAUCCAUCAUUCCUACAAUUCAUGCCAAACAAGAUGUCUGCUCCGGCGUCUGGCACGUGCUAGCAUUAGCACGGCGGCUAAAGUAAAUAAGACGGAUGCUGGUUUGUUUGCACCCCCCCCAUUUGUGGCGUGGUGUAAAAUUAUAUAAGGCUGGCACAUGGCUUAAAUUUUUGUCGAGCUUUUUGAGAAAAUCCCGCUUAUGUUUGCCUCUCAGUGCCAAAAAGUUCAUCUGGCCUGUAAAUUUAAGCAGGGAUUACAAAUAUUCAAAUCACAAGCUUACUGUUCAAAUAAACAUUUGCAGUGGGGAGUGGGGGGUAAAAAUAAUAAUAAUAAUAAUAAUAAUAAUGAAAUAAAAAAAUAAAAAAGUUGCACUGCACACACUUUGGCCACAAUUCCUCCUUGGGGCACCGCCCCUUUCCAUCGCCGCUAAUAAAACGAGCACAAAGAGCGUUACGGCGAGGUGAGGGGGACGGGAGGUGAGAAGCAAGGGGGCGGGGGAAUGCAAAAACAAAAGUUGGGCCUCUUCUUGACGCUGCAUAAACACACUUGAUGAAAUAUGUCAUUAAUGUAAUUGUAACCACCACCUCCGCAAUUACCGCAGCCAGGGUGGGCUCGCCGGCCGGGACAAUAGGCCACCUUAUUAUUCAGCGGGGUGGGGGGGGGGGGUUAAGCCGGUCAGCUGCUCGCCACAUGCUAGAAAUAACAAGCGGUGAGGUCACACUGGAGCUGGGAAGAAGUACACAUGCAAAAAAGAAAGAUGUGAUGUCAUUGUGAGGUCAUGGCAGGGGGGGUUGGGUGAGGGGGUGGGGGGUGCUCGUCAACCACGGCUCAACAACGUGUCGGGUGUCAGUCGCAAAAAACGGAACGCGAUCACAUGGGAGCUGGCAAAAUGGAGGCUAACGAUGCCAUGAACAACCCUGCCAAAUUUGAAUGAUGGGAGAAAUAUAGAAAAUGCCAUAAAGCUUAAAAAAAUCAGGGAAAAAAAAAAAAUCAAGCGAUCGGCUCUGCUCUCAAACCUCGCGGGCGUGUCGGCUGAUUGUGGCAAAACCACGCCCAGCUCAUCUGUCAACAAUCAAUCAAAUACCACUUUUACCACUUGGGGAGAAAAAAAAAAAAUAAUGGAUGCGAGUUGUUCUAGCGUCGUGGAGCUUAUCUAUCCCGCAACAACGAGGCGCUCUACGGCGGCCACGCAUGCUAGCUGUCAAGUCUGACUUUUUCAAAAACUUUCAGUGCCCUCGUCACUCUUCCGUCUUUCUCAGCGUGACGUGUGUCCCCUCAUGGCCUACGGCGAGGCGCUCGAAAAGCGGCUACGCCGGCGGACUCUCCAAAAAGAAAAAGAUGCAUUUUCGGGGUGUAGCUAGCUGGCUAACCGAAUGUCGGAACUGCGCUGGGUAGCCACUGAUGCGGACGAAGGAGCUGAAACUCUGGGGAGGAGAGUUGUUUGAUGUCGCUGCAUUUCGUACCGGUAUCAGCAUUUGACAACUUGGGCUUUGCAGGUUUUGUGAACAUAAAAUUUGCUCGCCCGUGACUCGCCAAUUGACUUUGGAGCAGCCACCUGACAAGAAGUUUUUGUUCCCACAAGUGAAGUUCGGCGCCAGUUUGACAACCUUUACGACCAUCCAGCCACGACGACGCGCGGUACAAUUGCACGCUGUCGACGGCAAGUUUCUCGAAACGGGAUGUGUUCUUGACGAACCGCGCAGCAGAAGGCUCAGCCAGCACCAGGCACUGAUGAAAACACCGAACUCCUAGAGCAGGCAUUUGCGCAAAGCCAGGCGGAGUCCAUCUGGAGGGGCUGCAACGGAAUUCAGCAUCCGCAAAAACUCUUCUGCUUGAAGCCUUUUGGAAAAAAGAAAGUGUUCAGUGACUUUUGGGAAAGCAUGUUAACAGUGCCUAACUUCUUCUAUGACAGUUAAGAGUGCUGACGUGACUUAAAACAUUGUCUGUCGCGUUAAUAAAGCUCUUUAUGAUGGAUCACAUUA